UUUUAGCUCAGUCUGCAAUUCGUGACUGACCGAAAAACGAGUCGCAUUGGAGCAACUACACCUAAAAACAAAGCUUACGCACACAAUUCUGUGGGAGCUGUGACGUUGGCGUUCUGCGGUUGAGCAGUGCUAUCUGUGGUAGAAGCGGUGUUUCAUGUUUGGAAGCGUGGUCAUUGCAUGGGUUUGUUUUCAUAGCAGUGACUGAAAGCUUGGCUUUGUUUUCGUAACAUUUGUGGCGGAAAUCUUGUUCUCAUUGCCAUAUGCGAUUCGGAUUGUUAUUGAGCAUCUGCUCAAAAUGCCACACAAGUGCUGUAUGCCCUACUGUAGGGGAAACUACGACAACGGUUUAAAAGUUAGCGUCUUUUCAUUCCCGUCUGAUGAAACUACGACAACGGUUUAAAAGUUAGCGUCUUUUCAUUCCCGUCUGAUGAAGCAUUAAGAUUGAAACGGAUCGCUGCAGUUCAUAGGAAUGACUGGGAACCCAGUAAACAGUUCGUUAUAUGUGAACUGCAUUUCACUGCAGACGACAUUGAGAAAAUUACCAGUGCUUACGACCCAAAACUGGCAAACUCUUUACAGUUUACAGCACCUUUGGACCGUCCACGUUUAAAGAAGCGUUCGUGAAAAUUUGUCGUAAAGGGUACUUGUAAUCAGUUUACAGAUUAAAGUACAGAUGCUGUACCAUCAAAGUUGCCAGGAAGACGUACGUAUUUAUCUUCAAAACAAGCACCAGCUCGAGAAGAUCCAGAGGGUCGCGAACGUUUGGGGAACCAAGCACUUGAGAAAGUCAUUGAGCAGAGUGUGGAAUCACACAAAAAAUGAUGGAGAAGAGUUCAUUUGCUAGUUUAGAAGAUUUUAAAUCAAAAUUAUCUGAUUGUGAAAAGCACAGUGACUGGGUCACGGGUGUUAAAGGAUGCUCCUUAUCUAAGUGUUGUGUGUCAUGUCGUUAUAAAUAGAUUUAGUGUUAAGUGCAUUUGUGAAGGAAGCUUAGCUAAAUUGUGCUGGUAAGAUUAAAUUACCAAACCAAGUAAGUGAUACUGGUGCAGUUAGUAAUAUUUUGAAAGAGUUGUAUGUGAUGUUUCAUAUAAAUGAGGCUCCAUUUGAGGCAAGUUUGUCUUGCAUUGAAGACAUUUUGGAAAACUUGUAAGAAAAAUUACCAUAAAGUGAGCAUAAAAUUAAAUUUUUG